GGAGGGAUGGCCGAGUGGCUAAAGGCGCACGCUUGGAAAGCGUGUUCGUGAAAGCGAGCGUGGGUUCGAAUCCCACUCCCUCCGCCA
rnacentral:tRNA from 1 species